rnacentral:rRNA from 1 species
GGUUAAGCGACUAAGCGUACACGGUGGAUGCCCUGGCAGUCAGAGGCGAUGAAGGACGUGCUAAUCUGCGAAAAGCGUCGGUAAGGUGAUAUGAACCGUUAUAACCGGCGAUGUCCGAAUGGGGAAACCCAGUGCAAUUCGUUGCACUAUCGUUAACUGAAUACAUAGGUUAACGAGGCGAACCGGGGGAACUGAAACAUCUAAGUACCCCGAGGAAAAGAAAUCAACCGAGAUUCCCCCAGUAGCGGCGAGCGAACGGGGAGCAGCCCAGAGUCUGAAUCAGCUUGUGUGUUAGUGGAACGGUCUGGAAAGUCCGACGGUACAGGGUGAUAGUCCCGUACACCAAAAUGCACAGGCUGUGAACUCGAAGAGUAGGGCGGGACACGUGGUAUCCUGUCUGAAUAUGGGGGGACCAUCCUCCAAGGCUAAAUACUCCUGACUGACCGAUAGUGAACCAGUACCGUGAGGGAAAGGCGAAAAGAACCCCGGCGAGGGGAGUGAAAAAGAACCUGAAACCGUGUACGUACAAGCAGUGGGAGCACCUUCGGGUGUGACUGCGUACCUUUUGUAUAAUGGGUCAGCGACUUAUAUUCUGUAGCAAGGUUAACCGUAUAGGGGAGCCGCAGGGAAACCGAGUCUUAACUGGGCGUUAAGUUGCAGGGUAUAGACCCGAAACCCGGUGAUCUAGCCAUGGGCAGGUUGAAGGUUGGGUAACACUAACUGGAGGACCGAACCGACUAAUGUUGAAAAAUUAGCGGAUGACUUGUGGCUGGGGGUGAAAGGCCAAUCAAACCGGGAGAUAGCUGGUUCUCCCCGAAAGCUAUUUAGGUAGCGCCUCGUGAACUCAUCUUCGGGGGUAGAGCACUGUUUCGGCUAGGGGGUCAUCCCGACUUACCAACCCGAUGCAAACUACGAAUACCGAAGAAUGUUAUCACGGGAGACACACGGCGGGUGCUAACGUCCGUCGUGAAGAGGGAAACAACCCAGACCGCCAGCUAAGGUCCCAAAGUCAUGGUUAAGUGGGAAACGAUGUGGGAAGGCACAGACAGCCAGGAUGUUGGCUUAGAAGCAGCCAUCAUUUAAAGAAAGCGUAAUAGCUCACUGGUCGAGUCGGCCUGCGCGGAAGAUGUAACGGGGCUAAACCAUGCACCGAAGCUGCGGCAGCGACACUAUGUGUUGUUGGGUAGGGGAGCGUUCUGUAAGCCUGCGAAGGUGACCUGUGAGGGUUGCUGGAGGUAUCAGAAGUGCGAAUGCUGACAUAAGUAACGAUAAAGCGGGUGAAAAGCCCGCUCGCCGGAAGACCAAGGGUUCCUGUCCAACGUUAAUCGGGGCAGGGUGAGUCGACCCCUAAGGCGAGGCCGAAAGGCGUAGUCGAUGGGAAACAGGUUAAUAUUCCUGUACUUGGUGUUACUGCGAAGGGGGGACGGAGAAGGCUAUGUUAGCCGGGCGACGGUUGUCCCGGUUUAAGCAUGUAGGCUGAUUNNNNNNNNNNNNNNNNNNNNNNNNNNNNNNNNNNNNNNNNNNNNNNNNNNNNNNNNNNNNNNNNNNNNNNNNNNNNNNNNNNNNNNNNNNNNNNNNNNNNUCCAGGCAAAUCCGGAUAAUCAAGGCUGAGGUGUGAUGACGAGGCACUACGGUGCUGAAGUAACAAAUGCCCUGCUUCCAGGAAAAGCCUCUAAGCAUCAGGUAACAUCAAAUCGUACCCCAAACCGACACAGGUGGUCAGGUAGAGAAUACCAAGGCGCUUGAGAGAACUCGGGUGAAGGAACUAGGCAAAAUGGUGCCGUAACUUCGGGAGAAGGCACGCUGGUGUGUAGGUGAAGUCCCUGCGGAUGGAGCUGAGACCAGUCGAAGAUACCAGCUGGCUGCAACUGUUUAUUAAAAACACAGCACUGUGCAAACACGAAAGUGGACGUAUACGGUGUGACGCCUGCCCGGUGCCGGAAGGUUAAUUGAUGGGGUUAUCCGUAAGGAGAAGCUCUUGAUCGAAGCCCCGGUAAACGGCGGCCGUAACUAUAACGGUCCUAAGGUAGCGAAAUUCCUUGUCGGGUAAGUUCCGACCUGCACGAAUGGCGUAAUGAUGGCCAGGCUGUCUCCACCCGAGACUCAGUGAAAUUGAACUCGCUGUGAAGAUGCAGUGUACCCGCGGCAAGACGGAAAGACCCCGUGAACCUUUACUAUAGCUUGACACUGAACAUUGAGCCUUGAUGUGUAGGAUAGGUGGGAGGCUUUGAAGCGUGGACGCCAGUCUGCGUGGAGCCAACCUUGAAAUACCACCCUUUAAUGUUUGAUGUUCUAACGUUGGCCCCUGACCGGGGUUGCGGACAGUGUCUGGUGGGUAGUUUGACUGGGGCGGUCUCCUCCCAAAGCGUAACGGAGGAGCACGAAGGUUAGCUAAUCCUGGUCGGACAUCAGGAGGUUAGUGCAAUGGCAUAAGCUAGCUUGACUGCGAGCGUGACGGCGCGAGCAGGUGCGAAAGCAGGUCAUAGUGAUCCGGUGGUUCUGAAUGGAAGGGCCAUCGCUCAACGGAUAAAAGGUACUCCGGGGAUAACAGGCUGAUACCGCCCAAGAGUUCAUAUCGACGGCGGUGUUUGGCACCUCGAUGUCGGCUCAUCACAUCCUGGGGCUGAAGUAGGUCCCAAGGGUAUGGCUGUUCGCCAUUUAAAGUGGUACGCGAGCUGGGUUUAGAACGUCGUGAGACAGUUCGGUCCCUAUCUGCCGUGGGCGCUGGAGAAUUGAGGGGGGCUGCUCCUAGUACGAGAGGACCGGAGUGGACGCAUCACUGGUGUUCGGGUUGUCAUGCCAAUGGCACUGCCCGGUAGCUAAAUGCGGAAGAGAUAAGUGCUGAAAGCAUCUAAGCACGAAACUUGCCCCGAGAUGAGUUCUCCCUGAGACUUUAAGUCUCCUGAAGGAACGUU